rnacentral:rRNA from 1 species
UACGGAGGGUGCAAGCGUUAUCCGGAUUCACUGGGUUUAAAGGGUGCGUAGGUGGGUUGGUAAGUCAGUGGUGAAAUCUCCGAGCUUAACUUGGAAACUGCCAUUGAUACUAUCAGUCUUGAAUACCGUGGAGAUGAGCGGAAUAUGUCAUGUAGCGGUGAAAUGCUUAGAUAUGACAUAGAACACCAAUUGCGAAGGCAGCUCGUUACACGAAUAUUGACACUCAGGCACGAAAGCGUGGGGAGUCAAACAGG